GCGACAGGCUUAACACAUGCAAGUCGAGGGGCUGCACAGGUAGCAAUACCGGGUGGCGACCGGCGCACGGGUGAGUAACGCGUAUGCAACUUGCCUAUCAGAGGGGGAUAACCCGGCGAAAGUCGGACUAAUACCGCAUGAAGCAGGGAUCCCGCAUGGGAAUAUUUGCUAAAGAUUCAUCGCUGAUAGAUAGGCAUGCGUUCCAUUAGGCAGUUGGCGGGGUAACGGCCCACCAAACCGACGAUGGAUAGGGGUUCUGAGAGGAAGGUCCCCCACAUUGGUACUGAGACACGGACCAAACUCCUACGGGAGGCAGCAGUGAGGAAUAUUGGUCAAUGGCCGAGAGGCUGAACCAGCCAAGUCGCGUGAGGGAUGAAGGUUCUAUGGAUCGUAAACCUCUUUUAUAAGGGAAUAAAGUGCGGGACGUGUCCCGUUUUGUAUGUACCUUAUGAAUAAGGAUCGGCUAACUCCGUGCCAGCAGCCGCGGUAAUACGGAGGAUCCGAGCGUUAUCCGGAUUUAUUGGGUUUAAAGGGUGCGUAGGCGGCCUUUUAAGUCAGCGGUGAAAGUCUGUGGCUCAACCAUAGAAUUGCCGUUGAAACUGGGGGGCUUGAGUAUGUUUGAGGCAGGCGGAAUGCGUGGUGUAGCGGUGAAAUGCUUAGAUAUCACGCAGAACCCCGAUUGCGAAGGCAGCCUGCCAAGCCAUUACUGACGCUGAUGCACGAAAGCGUGGGGAUCAAACAGGAUUAGAUACCCUGGUAGUCCACGCAGUAAACGAUGAUCACUAGCUGUUUGCGAUACAUUGUAAGCGGCACAGCGAAAGCGUUAAGUGAUCCACCUGGGGAGUACGCCGGCAACGGUGAAACUCAAAGGAAUUGACGGGGGCCCGCACAAGCGGAGGAACAUGUGGUUUAAUUCGAUGAUACGCGAGGAACCUUACCCGGGUUUGAACGCAUUCGGACCGAGGUGGAAACACCUUUUCUAGCAAUAGCCGUUUGCGAGGUGCUGCAUGGUUGUCGUCAGCUCGUGCCGUGAGGUGUCGGCUUAAGUGCCAUAACGAGCGCAACCCUUGCCACUAGUUACUAACAGGUAAAGCUGAGGACUCUGGUGGGACUGCCAGCGUAAGCUGCGAGGAAGGCGGGGAUGACGUCAAAUCAGCACGGCCCUUACAUCCGGGGCGACACACGUGUUACAAUGGCGUGGACAAAGGGAGGCCACCUGGCGACAGGGAGCGAAUCCCCAAACCACGUCUCAGUUCGGAUCGGAGUCUGCAACCCGACUCCGUGAAGCUGGAUUCGCUAGUAAUCGCGCAUCAGCCAUGGCGCGGUGAAUACGUUCCCGGGCCUUGUACACACCGCCCGUCAAGCCAUGGGAGCCGGGGGUACCUGAAGUCCGUAACCGCGAGGAUCGGCCUAGGGUAAAACUGGU
rnacentral:rRNA from 1 species